rnacentral:rRNA from 1 species
CACGUAGGCGGAUGACAUAGUCGGGCGUGAAAUUCCUGGGCUCAACCUGGGGACUGCGUUCGAGACGUGUUGUCUUGAGUUCGGAAGAGGGUCGUGGAAUUCCCAGUGUAGAGGUGAAAUUCGUAGAUAUUGGGAAGAACACCGGUGGCGAAGGCGGCGACCUGGUCCGAUACUGACGCUGAGGCGCGAAAGCGUGGGGAAGCAAACA